CGUAAACCUUUUCACAGAGAAAGCCAUGAAUGAGGUCGGUCUGUCUCCGCCCAGCACCACUGCAGGCUGUCGGUUUGCUAAGAUGGAGAAAUGGUUAUUGAACAGAGACGUUUUACAUUUUCAAAGUGCAGUAGACCUGAGAAGUGAAUAUUUUUUCCAAUCUUACAUAUGUGGAAAUUAUUGAAAACAAUACUAAGACUAAAGCAAAGAGCUGUCCCUUAAACUCAAAAGCUUGUAACAUCCUGCAGCGGUGAUGCAACAGUUCACAAGACUGAGUGAAUAGCCAAGUGUAAUUCUGAUCCCUCUGCUUUGCCAGGCUGUGACACUGGCAGACUUCCAGAAUAAGCCAAUUUCAGAAGAGUGGAGCCUCCAAAUAUGAUCUUCUGUCAGUCACAGAGAUUUCAGCUCUAGGAAAGGAAAGAUUCAUCUGGCAGAUUAGAAUCACUACUGUAGGAGAUGGUGAAAGAAGUGAUCUUUCCCCAGGCAGGAUGCCAGCUACUCCAGGACCAGUCAACACCUUGAACUGUGCCGGGAAGCAGUGGUGACUUAGCUCAAGUAUCGCUAUGUCUCAUCCCACUCUUGUGAUGCAAACCACUGUUUUUUCAAUAGGUGCUACAACGGCAACUCCCAACCUGUGCUGAAACAAUCAAAAUGCUUCAGAGUUUCCAGAGCCAUCCCCAUUCUGGGCUUUUACAGAGAGAAAUCAGCAGUGAGGCUGACAGUCACACCUGAUUUUUGGGCUCUUACUGCAGGACAGACCAGCCAUCUCCAGACCAGUUCCUGGAGGGUGCUCUGCUCUCUCCAUCCUGUUGUAGGGUAACAACUGCAGGUUUCCAUGGCUCAGCCUGGACAACGUGUUGCAGUAUGUGGAGGCUUCAGCUUGCAAAGCCAUGGUCAGAGGAAAUGUUUAUAACCAAGAUGUGCAGUAGCAUCUCACAGCUCCCCUAGGGUUUCUGUCUCUAUGGGAUCCAGUGCCAGCUUGCAGAAAGAGGGGAGUUUGGGAAAAGGAUUGUUGUAAAUUACGGGUUCCUCAGCAUAAGGUGUGGAACCCAGAACCAGAAUGUCUGCGUGUAAUCAAAUAACCCAGAUAUACUGGCUAGCUGUGAUAAUAAAUAGACCUGGACGUAUUAAAAAACUAAAAAACUGUUGUUACUUAGGUACAGUGAUCUUCAUAACCUUUUUCUAACCUGACUAAUCAAUCCCCCAAGUUUUCUUUCCUUUCUAAUUCUACAAAAUCAUAUAAAGGAGUAUGCUGCAUCUAUGACAAACUGAGUCAUUUGGGUGAUCCUGAUAAUGGGAUACUGCAUUAGAUAUGAGGUUUAGUUUUGGUGCAUUCUGUGUCUCCUGCUAACACCUUAAGAAGAUUACCAUUCCUGGUAAGGGCUCCAAACAUUAAAGGAAAACUAAAAGGAGAGCAAGUUCUUUCAAGAGAAUAAAGCUGAUGCUGUGGGCAAUUAGAAUGAACUACAUCAGCUUUCAAGAUUAAAGAGAAAAACUGCAAAGAAGAUUUACUAGUUGAAACUCUGUCAUUAGAGAUCCCAUUUUUUGACACCAAAAUAAAAUGAAUUUUAAAAAUGAAGCUGUAUGUGUGUUUACUUAGGAGUAGGAAAAAGCAAUGAUUACUCCACCUACUGCUCAGCUGCUGCUUUAUAUAAUGAAUGACUACUCAUUUUUAACAUUUUUGGUAUCUUACAUAAAUUAAAAAAAAAUGAAAGGGCAAUAUUCAUUCAAAGAAACAGCUGCCCACCUUGACACUUGUAAUUAUCUAUUAUAACUUAAUAUUAUGGGCAAAAAUGUAAUAGUCUGGCAGUCAGUAGUUCCUUAUUACAAUUAUGAGCAAAGUUAGUUGACUUUCUGAUGUUAUGGUUGACUAACAGUUGGUCAAGGGAAACACUGUUCUUGUUGUUUAUAACCUUAUCAUACUCCAACAAACUGAAUUGAAAAUACCCCUGCCAGACAUCUGUCUCGGCCUCAUUUUAUGUGUUUCCUUUUGGAAAAAUUCAGCUUAAAUGGUGCUUAGGACAAAAAAAAAAUAGAAAAGAAAAAAAAAAAAAAGACAACAGAGUCUGUGUUUGGCCUCAUGUGUCAUUCGUGGCUCUUUAAGCCCUGUGCUUAAACAGCAAAAAAAAAAAAACAAAAGAGAGAAUGCUUUUUUUUUCUGACCACUGGAGAAAUAUUUUUGGUGGCCCCAUGAAAUAUUUUGGUGUCCUAUCCUAGUACUACUAAAAUAUGAGAUAUAAGUUCACUAAAGAGGCCUCUGCAGUGACCAUGUUCUGCUAAGAGCUACUGAGGCUAAGCAGGAUUUUCUGCACAUUACAGGGAAUGUUUUAGAAAUGUCAAAUAUGAACCAUUUCUACUUCUCCCUUCUGGACUCUCCUGUCAUUCUAUAUUAUCAGAUAGGUAUAAAAUGACAGUAAAUGUGCAUAUUUCUCUUGCUUUAAUAAAGUGUUCAAGUUACUGAA